rnacentral:rRNA from 1 species
AUAGCGUAUAUUAAAGUUGUUGCAGUUAAAAAGCUCGUAGUUGAACUUCAGCCUCUUGGCCGGGCGGUCUGCCUCACGGUAUGUACUGUCUGGCUGGGGCUUACCUUCUGGUGAGCUUGCAUGCCGUUUAUUCGGUGUGUGAGGGAACCAGGACUUUUACCUUGAGAAAAUUUGAGUGUUCAAAGCAGGCAAAUGCCCGAAUACAUUAGCAUGGCAUAAUGGAAUAGGACGUGCGGUUCUAUUUUGUUGGUUUCUAGAGUCGCCGUAAUGAUUAAUAGGGACAGUUGGGGGCAUUAGUAUUGAGUUGCUAGAGGUGAAAUUCUUGGAUUUACUCAAGACUAACUACUG